rnacentral:rRNA from 1 species
CAGUAGCCGCGGUAAUACGGAGGGGGCUAGCGUUGUUCGGAAUUACUGGGCAUAAAGCGCACGUAGGCGGCUUGGUAAGUUAGAGGUGAAAGCCCAGGGCUCAACCCAUAGUCUGCACGGGAAACUGUCGGGCUUGAGAAUGGGAGAGGUGAGUGGAAUUUCCGGUGUAGCGGUGAAAUGCGUAGAUAUCGGAAGGAACACUUGUGGCGAAAGCGGCUCACUGGACCAUAACUGACGCUGAAGCACGAAGGCUAGGGGAGCAAACAGGAUUAGAUACCCCAGUAGUCCCUGUCUCUUAUAC